rnacentral:rRNA from 1 species
UACGUAGGGGGCUAGCGUUGUCCGGAAUCAUUGGGCGUAAAGAGCGUGUAGGCGGUCCGGUAAGUCCGCUGUGAAAGUCGGGGGCUCAACCCUCGAAUGCCGGUGGAUACUGUCGGGCUAGAGUGCGGAAGAGGCGAGUGGAAUUCCUGGUGUAGCGGUGAAAUGCGCAGAUAUCAGGAGGAACACCAAUUGCGAAGGCAGCUCGCUGGGACGUAACUGACGCUGAGACGCGAAAGCGUGGGGAGCGAACGGG